GGGCCCGUGGGGUAUACGGUAACCUCUCACCCUUGACAAGUGAGGAAGCGGGUUCAAGUCCCGCCGGGUCCA
rnacentral:tRNA from 1 species